GUUUGUAUGUCCUUAAAAGCAAAUUAGAAGUGGAAAAUCAAGAAGACUAACCUGCACACUGAGUUCCUGGAAAUUUUCAAGAAAAUUGGUUGAGCCUUUACAAAGAUCUUGAUGCCUGAAUCCAAUGUACUUAUUUUUAUUUGUUGCUAUUUUAUCUUUAUUUCUUGGUAUAUUCAAAUUGCUACAUAAACCACGAUCUCUCUGAAGUGGAGAACAGGAAGAGUGCUUUAUUUGCAUCUAAGACUAUAGUUUUUCUUAAAUGGAAGAAUGGGAUAAAAAGCUUGGGUUUUGUAUGGUUUUAUGGAUUCUUAAAAUUAAGGCAAGAGGACAACCCGCCCAGCUUCCUGUUAAUUAAUCUUGGCUUUUCAUCCAGACAAAAGUCUUUUCAUGCCUGCCUCAUCUUGUGAUGAGGAUUAUUGCUAAUGGGGGUUAGGAGACAUGAGCUGUGUUCAUAGUCCUCAGCUAUUGCUGCCAAAUCUUUAAAGGUCUUGACUGAUUCUACUGAUUUCAUGUGAAUUGAAAGACAAAAGAUUGCUUCAGUUUCCCAAUAUGCAGACUAUGUAUAGUACUUGCUUCACUUGCUUCUUAUGGAUAGAAAAUGCAAGAAUUGUUUGCUUAAAUGUGUCAUAAUUCCAUGCAAAGUAAAUGUUGAAACUUGUAGUAAUAUUAGUCUUGGAACUCUUUGUUAGCAACAGGUAGAUUUAGAGUUUACAGUAUGAACAUAGUUAAUCACUAGCAUUACUAAUAAUUAAUCUUGGGUUUAAAGAUG